CCUUGUACACACCGCCCGUCACGCCAUGGAAGCUGGGGGGACCUGAAGCCGGUGGGCUAACCGCAAGGGGGCAGCCGUCAAAGGCCAAUUCAGUGACUGGGGCG
rnacentral:rRNA from 1 species